CUGAGGGAGGGAGGAGUCCAUGAGUGACAUCCCAGGAAAGAUGUGUUCCAACCCACAGAUGGCCCUCCCUUGGCCACCACUCAGGGCUGCUCCAGGUCCCCAGAGGCACUGGCUGCCGGUGGCACUGCUUCUGCAUUCCUUCCGCACCUUGGGAGCUCUUCCUCAGCUGACAGCACACGUCAGAGUCACUAAGAAGGUGCGACCCCAAACAGAAACUCCGAGUUUCCGAGGACCAAAUGGUCCCCAAACUGAGUGAGCUAGACUGAGAGAGUCGAUGAAGCAGGGCUCCCACCAGGAUGGGCGCAUGGCAACUGCAGACACGUUCUGAGCUUCAGGGGACUCCCUCUUUAAGACGAGGGGAGAGGCUGUGUGCUGCCCACCUUCCCCCCAUGAGCAUCCCAUUACUCAUUUUUUAUUUCGAAGUCAAUUGCAAGGCCUGUUCUAGGCCACAGUCCAGUUUAGCUCCCCACAUCAGGGGCGGACACGAGGCACAAGGGUGCAUCACCCAGCAAGAGGGAGGGCCAGUGCAGGAGCUUGGCCCCUGCUAAUUAUCCCUCCUGGUCGCUCGGCCCGAUAACUGUUGCAUUUGGAAAUAAAUGACACACUUUUCCUACAUCUGCUCCAAAUUUGCAUUUCAGAAAUUAGAGAGCUUAGUUACGUGGUAUUACAUGGCAGUCCGGGCCGGGUCUCGGAGUAUGGAACUGAUUGGAUAGUCUGCCCAAAAUAAGAGGAGUUUCGAGCUCUUUCCAGGAAAUUGAGUGGAACACCCAAACUGACAUCCAAUAUUAAAUAUUAUAUUUGUAUAGUUGUUCAGUAGAGUUCCCUGGCAUCCAACAUCUGAGAGCAAAAUUUAUAAAUGGGGAAAUUGAAUACCUGGUGAGAACGAUGCUCAUCAAGGCUAAGAAAUUAAAAUAUUACUGUAUACACUCCAAGUCAGGCUGCUUAUAAAGGUAGAGCUAUUAAAACAUGAUCAGCUGAAAUGUAUUUUGUCUCAAAAAUGUCAUACACCAUUAAAGUUGAAAAGACUUUGAUGCAAAUACCCCUGGCAAAGGCUCUGCUCCGUCAGCAGCAAUGUGCUCGGGAAUGUUCACUGCAAAUAUACAGUCUCGCUGAGUGAGGGGAGACUGGGGAGCCGCCCGGGGACAGCAGGACUCCCUGGGGCUGCUGGGGCACCCAGCACCUCAGGACGCUGGCUCACGGGCUCAGGAGCAGCACAUCAUAGGGGGACGAUUUGGCCCAGGGCAGUUUCGUCAGAGUGGGUGGAGCAGGGGCAGGACUGGGUGCAAACUUCAAGGGAAUGCCAAAAAUCUGGAUAACAUUUUAGUAUAAUACGUAACAGUGAAAAUAAACGGUCAAACUACUGCCUGCUGCCUGACCCUUUUGUAAAUAAAGUUUUAUUGGAACCAGGGCCAAGAUGAGAGUGUGGCAAGCAAGGCAGGGUUGUGCAAGCUCAGGAUCAGAUUCUGCUGUUACUUGAAAUUCGAUGUUUUGUUCAUUGUGGCUUUUUUGUAUUAUUUCGAGUUUUGAGGUGUCAUUUAAGUAUGAGGCCUGAGGCGAGCAUCCCACUCGCCUUACCUGGCCAAAGCCCUGGCCAAGGGGAGUAGUUUUGGAUGGUGUGCUCCCCCCACAGGACAGGAUGGUAUCCUCUCUGCCAGGGUCUCCAAGAGGGGGCCACCUGUGCUUGGAAUCCCAUGCUCACGUGAGUGUGGUAGAAGCACAAAGCCCUGCUGGAAAGCCUGGCCCCACCCUAAAGGUCAGCCACCCAUGUCUGAUCCCCUGCUGUGAACAUUUUAGUGAAUACCAUGGAAGGCAGAAGGCAAGCCCCCCCAUCCCAUCCUACCUCCAGGCACAGCCCGGGGGGGGCUCUGAGCAGGGUGCUUAGCUGCUGGCCUUAGGGCACCUCCAACAACUCCACCCGCUGCCUGUGGCCCUGGGGGUGCUGUGCGGCCUGGGGGGUCCUGGAAAGCCAGCCUCAGUAGACUUGGGAAUGAUAGGCUGGCCCUGAAGGGUGGGAGAGGAUUAGAACCUGGUCCCACUGGUAUCUGCUCUGGGCGCUAGGACCCAUCAUGCUGCUCUCCUUGAGCUCCAGGUUUUCUCAUCUGAACUCCAUGCGAGACAGCAAAACCCACCCUGCCACGUCCCUGGAUUGGAGCUUCUUAGACCUCAGUCUAAAUUGGUGAAGGUGCUCCUGCUCUAAAGGGCCAUACACAGAUCAAAACGCACGCUCUCUUACAAAGAUGCACUGGAAUCCAACACCCGGGAGCCAAUGCAGACAUCUCUAGCUGAUAGAAUUCUCUGGAUGAUGCUAAGGCUCAGCUCCAUGGGUCCUGCUGCCUGAUUCAGUUCUGAUCUGUGGUCCUUUGUCUGCUGAGCUGGAGCUGGGUCACUUGAGCCUGCUUCCUGAGUGCCUGGUCCAGAGGUGCACUUGAAGAGGGUCCUUCUCAUCCACCCAUUGUCAUACGUGGUGUCCAAGCUUCCCUGGCCACCUACAGAAGCGGAAUCCAUCCAGCAUGCUGUCAAUCACCAUAGCUCCCUUCUGUGUCCUGAGGAAAGGCUCUAUGAGUCCAAAAUGGAAUACUGGGAGCUGGAAGGGGAUUUUGUCAUUGGUGCUCCCCUCCCAUGUUGCUGCACCCUCCACACUUGUAAUCAGAUGCUCUUCCCACUUCUUUCUGCAGCUACCUGAGGGGCUGGUCACCGUCUCAAGAUGUGGAAGGCGGAGCUUCUCUCCUGCUGGAUUUUUCAGAUGUGAGCAUUCAUGCCCCCAGCAGCCAUGUGGCUGGCGGGCCACCGGACUCCGCGGCCACGCCGGUUCUGCGAGGUAGCGUCAUCUAAGACGGUGGCCAACUUAACAGAACUUAGCAGGUGUAAAAGGCCUCCAAAUCUGCAGACUCAGGCUCGUAUCUCCGCGGGGGACUUUUUUCUCCUCCUGUGAAGAGCUCAAGCAGGAUACGGCGGCGGCGGCACCGUGUUUGCAUCUUGGCAUUUGAACCACACUAACCUGAUUAUUAAAAUCACUGCUGUUACUUGCAUUUACUUAUUUAUUUUUCCGUGGAAGAAGUGCUUUUCUUCAGUUCAACAGAACGUGGAAGUCUGAAAAAACCCUGCCUUCUGCAGAGGAUGUGAGCUGGCUCGUGGCCAGCGGCUGGACUUCACCCCUUGUAAAUAACUCCCUUUCCCGUCAGGAGCCAGAGAUAAGCCGUCCAGGACUCUGCGCGGAGAGGCUGGUACCCCUUCCAUCUGCUGAAGCGCAGUGGCCCCCCGUCAGCUGCCAGCCACCCCCCCUGCCAAGACCGCGAGCGCCAAGUGAAAGGGCCCCAGCGUACCGCGUUCCGUAAAUGCUGUCCUGGGGAGAAUCUUUUACGUUUCCUUUCAGCUUUCAAAGCGUUGGCAGGGUGGGUUCUGGUGAAAUCCAGCACUAGGCUGAGUGCCCAGCCCUGUCCACUCCCUCCUUGUCUCAGCCUCCCACAGCAGCCCUAGGCCCUUACCCACCUGUCGCCCCCAGGUCCCUCCAUGCGCAUCCGAGGCCCCUGUGCCAGUGUCUCUGGGUGUGUGCUUUUUGGGGAGAGGCACAGAGGCACACGUGCAGGGACUCCCAGGCUGCCCCAUCCCUGUGCUGCUUCAGUGCAUCCCUUGGUGAGCAGGGACUUCACACCGGUCACCUCUGAUGUCGUGGGACAGUGGGCUUCAGCCUGCCGUCUCUGCUCCCACCUCCAGAGCCUGUCUGCUCCUUGAGGGGGUGCACUUCCAGCACACACAGAGGCAGGAGACUGAGGCCGAGGGCAUGCACGUUUGUGCAGGUUACCAUGCAGAGGUGCAGAGUGGAGUUCCAGCUCAGAUCUCUGGAACAGAAGGCUGAGGUGGAACUGGAAAUAUGUUGCUGGAGAGGUGUGUGAGACAGUGUGUGUGUGUGUGUGUGUGUGUGUGUGUGCAUGAGUCAGGUGGUGUCACGUGAGCAGAUGAAUGUACAUGUCAGUGGGUGUGACUUGGGGCGUUUAUGUGUGAACGUGCAGCUGUGUAUAUGUGUUAAUGUGAAAGUGUGCGUGUGUAUGUGUGAGUCAUGACCUGUGAGUGUGCAAAUGUGGGCAGGUAUGUGUGAGUCAAGGUGCACAAGCAUCUACAUGUGUGUGGAUGUGUGUGUGUCUGGUGUGCAUGCUUGUGUAGAUCUCUGUGAGACUCAGGGGUAUUGAUGUGGGCAUGAAGAUGUGUGAGUUAGUGAGUGCACCACCACAGCUCACAAGUUCCCACCUGACCUGGGCCUGCAUCUCUCCUUCGCUCCAAUGACUUCCCUGACUUGGGGGCCACCCUCCCCUGUUCACGUGCCCUCCUGGACCUCUGUGUUCCUGCCUGUCUAUUGCUGUCUUGCCUUCAGGCCUCUGCUCAAAUGCUGUCUUGUGCCCUCCCGGAGCCCCCAUCCCCCCUGCCCCCCGGCUCCGCCGCAGCCACACAUCCGUUAUGUGCACGUCUGCUGUCCUCUGACCUCCUGGAUGCCUUCUGUAGGUCAGGGCCCACUGCUGCGUGCCGCGCUGGAGCACUGCCUGGACCCAAGGUGGGCACUCAGGGAACACGUGCUGAUGAGUGAAUACUGACUUGUUUAUUUUUUAACUCGAAAGCAAAAAAUUAAUUAUGCUUUUAACCUUAAAUUCCACUGUAUGUUGACUCAGGAGGCAUUUGUCAUUAACUAAAAGAUCUCGGGACUAACUUUUCAACUCAACCAAGGGGGUUUGGAAAUGAACCCCACUCUUUUGAGGCCUGACUCCAGCUGCCUGGGAGCUUGACGGGGCUCAGCAGCCGAUCUGGGCCCGUUUCCACCCUCACUCUGCCAGCCUCAGAACAUGCUCAGCCCCGGGGGGUGUGUUCUCGCCAUUUGCCAGGUUGUGGGGUGGGAGGGCGGGAUGUGCACUGCUGGAUUCCGGGCAGCUUCUGCCCAGGUGGAAAGGCUCAUUCUGAGAAGUAGCCUGUUUCCCAGGUGAAAAACAGCCAUUUUCAAAGGAAAAUGAGCUGCCCAGACUAAGGCUGGAGUUUGCUAUGGGGACAGGGUGACUUCGAGUGCCUUUAGUUGGGGUGAACCUCGGGUUUCCAGAGUGCGGCCUUCCUGUACCCUAGAUGAUCCUCCCAGCAUCACUCCCCUCCCUGACUCCCACAGCCUGGGGUGCAGAGAAGGAGGCAGAGGGUGGGUCUUUGGGCCUUGCAGGGUCUCUGAGUGCUGCCUGCAGCCCUCGGUGGUGGCAGUGAAAUCUUGACUCUGGGUGUGAGUAACAGGGCCCUUGGAGAUGUCUGCAGAGGAAAGAAAAUCACACUCAGGCGAACCACUCUUGGCAUUCAAAGUGACUCCACAGGGAUCGUGCCAGGGGGUACAGCUGUCCUGAAGAGGUAGGUUGCUCUGUCUGCACCCCUCGGCCCUCUGGGGAAGCAGCUUUGCCAUGCCUCGCCACACCUUCCUCCUUACUCCUGUGUUUGGAAGGAAAAGUCCCUCGGGCCCCCGUUCCUCCAUGCAGGAAUGUCCAGACCAGUUCUCUGUGGAGCUGAAGUGUACUUUCCUCCUGCCCGCAGAACCAAUGGGUUAUGCGUCCGUCAUUUGCACAGUCAGCAACCUGCACCACAAGUUUGGGCAGACCUUCUAAUGAUGAGAGGGCAUCAGGAGACAGCACAGUUAGCCCCAGCCCGCAGCAUCUGGUGCUCCCCAGGCUCAGCUGAGCCCGACUUCCAUGAGCAAAUCCAGGACUGCUCAGUUGGGGGCUGUGUCUGGACGCGACCGUGUUGAGACUUAGCAUGGCUAAUUAAUAAUAUUGAGCCAAGAGAGAUAAGGGCAGGGAUGUAAAAGAUACCUGCAGUGAAAUUGCUACAAGAAAUGUCCAACAUGACCCCAGAGGCACUGGCCACAUAUCUCACUCUGAGUUCUUUUACCUCCACAGUUAGAGGGAAAUAGAAUUAUCUUGAACAGUAUAGCACUCGUAAAAUGAAAAAAAAAAGGGGGGGCGCAUUGUUCAGAGGCUUAAAGCUAUUUCUAUCAUCAAGAAAUGUCUUCCUUCUAUACCUAGUUUGCUGAGAUUUUUAUUAUGAAAGAAGGUUGAAAUUUGUCAAAUGCUUUUUCUGCUUCUACUGAGUUGAUUGUGUGUUUAUCCUUCAUGCUGUUAAUGUGGUGUCUUCUAUUAAUUGACUUGCUUUAUUGGACCACUGUUACAUCCCAGGGAUAUAUCCCACUGGGUCAUGGUGUAUGAUCCUUCUGUUUGAGAUAGUUUGCUAGUAUUUGGUUGAGGACUUUCACAUCUGAGUUGGCUUGUAGUCUCCUAUUCUUGCAGUGCCCUUGCCUUGCUUUGGUACCGGAAUAAUGCUGGCCUCCUAAAAUGAGUUUGGAAGUGUUUCCUGUCCUUCAGGAAUGUACCUCAAUAUAGUAAAGGAAGUAUGUGAAAAGCCCACAGUUAAGAUCAUAUCCAAUGGGGAAAAACUGAGAGCUUUCUCUCUAAGGUCAGGAACAAGGCAGGGAUGUCUACUCUCGCCAUGUGUAUUCAACAUAGUACAGGAAGUCCUGACCUGAGCAAUUAGGCAAGAAAAAGAAAUAAAAGAUAUCCAAACUGGAAAGAAAGAAGUAAAAUUUGCUUCUUUGCUUCUAAAACAUGCAGAUGACAUGAUCUUAUAUGUAGGAAAUCUUCCAGACUCCACAACAAAUGUAAGGUUGUAGGAAUCAAAAUCCACACACCAAACUCAGUUACAUUUAUGUACUCUAACAACAGACUAUCUAAAAGGGAAAUUAAGAAAACAUUCUUGUUCAUAAUAGCAUCAAAUAGAAUAAACUACUCAGUGAUAAACUUAACCAAGGAGAGGAAAGGCUUGUACACUGAAAACUAUAAAACAUUGAGGACACAGGGACACCUGGUGCCUCAGUGGUGGAGCAUGUACCUUUGGCUCAGG